rnacentral:lncRNA from 1 species
GCGGCUUCAGCAGCAGCUCAGGCGGCGACUCCAGCGGCGCGGCGGCUUCAACGGCGGCUCCAGCAGGCGACGGCCACGGUCGGGGUUUGGGAUUCAGGUGAGACCAAGUCUGGCAUUCAUCCCACUGAACACGUCGAGUCUGUAGUCUGUACUCUGUACUAAUUGAGUCCUGCAUAUUCAGUUUAGAUGUAAAAAGACUAGUAGCUAGCUGCGUCAUUUGACACAGCCAAGUCUGUACUAAAUACUAAUUGAACCCUGCUUAUUCAGUUAUUGAACACGUCGUACCUGUAUCUGUGCCUGUCCGAACUCUGAACUUUGAUGGGCAGUAGCGUUUUUUCUUCUGUCAAAGUGUCAAUUCUUCAUGGACAGAAAGGCACUGACUAAUAAGAUGCCCAACCGGCUCAGUUUUGUCUAGAUUGCUAGAAGAUGGAAGGAAAGGGAAAGGGACUAGUAAAUCCAAAGAAAAGAGGAAGAGGUAAUUUCUCAUUUUUCUGAAAUUUUGUAGCAAUUUUGAACAGCCUUAAAUUCAACCAUAUUUUAGUGAUAUAUUAAUUUUCUCAUUGCAGAUUUGAAAAGGUUUUAGGUUGUUUUCCUAUUGAGGCAUGUCUAUAUUUCCAUUGUAUUUGGUUAUUCGUUCGUAGUGUGUAUUAACUCUUUGAUUCGCAUUAAAAAAAUCUUAGUGAGACUUCGCCACACCUUAAUUUUUUUCCGUGGUCCGCCUCUGGCUAAAUGUGUGAGCAAGAACCCAUGACAAUAUGAUGUGCAUUGAUUUUCAAGGGUAUAUAUAUAUCUGCAUAAAUAAGAGGUGGCUGAAGCG